rnacentral:rRNA from 1 species
UGAGGCUAAUUCCGGAUACUGCUUUCAUGUUGGAACACAGAAAGUCGGAAACGGUCCGCCGCCGGAGGACGUGACUGCGGCCGAUUAGGUAGACGGUGGGGUAACGGCCCACCGUGCCGAUAAUCGGUACGGGUUGUGAGAGCAAGAACCCGGAGACGGUAUCUGAGACAAGAUACCGGGCCCUACGGGGCGCAGCAGGCGCGAAACCUUUACACUGCACGCCAGUGCGAUAAGGGGACCCCGAGUGCGAGGGCAUACAGUCCUCGCUUUUCGUGACCGUAAGAAGGUCUCAGAAUAAGAGCUGGGCAAGACCGGUGCCAGCCGCCGCGGUAAUACCGGCAGCUCGAGUGAUAGCCACUAUUAUUGGGCCUAAAGCGUCCGUAGCCGGCCGAACAGGUCCGUCGGGAAAUCCACCUGCUCAACGGGUGGACGUCCGGCGGAAACCAGUCGGCUUGGGGCCGGGAGACCAGAGAGGUACGUCCGGGGUAGGAGUGAAAUCCUGUAAUCCUGGACGGACCGCCGGUAGCGAAAGCGUCUCUGGAGAACGGACCCGACGGUGAGGGACGAAAGCUUGGGUCUCGAACCGGAUUAGAUACCCGGGUAGUCCAAGCUGUAAACGAUGCUCGCUAGGUGUGGCGUUGGCUACGAGCCAGCGCUGUGCCGUAGGGAAGCCGAGAAGCGAGCCGCCUGGGAAGUACGUCCGCAAGGAUGAAACUUAAAGGAAUUGGCGGGGGAGCACUACAACCGGAGGAGCCUGCGGUUUAAUUGGACUCAACGCCGGACAUCUCACCGGCACCGACAGUGUGCAGUGACAGUCAGUCUGAUGGGCUUACUUGAGCCACUGAGAGGAGGUGCAUGGCCGCCGUCAGCUCGUACCGUGAGGCGUCCUGUUAAG